rnacentral:rRNA from 1 species
GUUAUCGCAUAUUUGAUAGUACCUACUACAUGGAUAACCGUGGUAAUUCUAGAGCUAAUACAUGCUUAAAAUCCCGACUUCGGAAGGGAUGUAUUUAUUAGAUUAAAAACCAAUGCCCUUCGGGGCUCACUGGUGAUUCAUAAUAACUUCUCGAAUCGCAUGGCCUUGUGCCGGCGAUGGUUCACUCAAAUUUCUGCCCUAUCAACUUUCGACGGCUGGGUAUUGGCCAGCCGUGGUUACAACGGGUAACGGAGGGUUAGGGCUUGACCCCGGAGAAGGAGCCUGAGAAACGGCUACUACAUCCAAGGAAGGCAGCAGGCGCGCAAAUUACCCAAUCCCGAUACGGGGAGGUAGUGACAAUAAAUACUGAUACAGGGCUCUUUUGGGUCUUGUAAUUGGAAUGAGUACAAUUUAAAUCCCUUAACGAGGAACAAUUGGAGGGCAAGUCUGGUGCCAGCAGCCGCGGUAAUUCCAGCUCCAAUAGCGUAUAUCAAAGUUGUUGCAGUUAAAAAGCUCGUAGUUGAACCUUGG